rfam:Triticum aestivum genome assembly, contig: Triticum_aestivum_CS42_TGACv1_scaffold_030592_1BL
AAGCUACUCCUCCGUUCCGAAUUACUUGUCUUAGAUUUAUCUAGAUACGGAUGUAUCUAGCACUAAAAUGAAUCUAGAUACAUAUGUAUCUAGACAAAUCCAAGACAAGUAAUUUGGAACGGAGGGAGUAGCUU